rnacentral:tRNA from 1 species
CGGGCUGUGGCGCAGGUGGUAGCGCGUCCGCUUUGGGAGCGGAAGGCCGUGGGUUCGAGUCCCGCCAGCCCGA